ACAGAAAAGAAUUGGCAAAGGUGCGUGCAGUGAUUAUAACGGCAACACCCCAGUGAGCCAUACCUGCCUGUUGGAUCUCUCAUAACCUUCCUCUCAGCCUCUGAGGACAAACGACUGUCCUGAUCUGCACCGUAUUCAAUUAGAAAGGACUUGAUUACUAAGUAGGUCUCAGUAAGCACCCAGGACAUCCAUACCUUUCAUGGAUGGGAAGAUUGACACAGAAAUGGCAGGACCGUAUUCCUUUCCGCUCGGUGCUGGAGCCAGUCCCUCCUCACGAUUCCUCUUCUCCCACACACAACUUUAAAGUGGAACACAAGGGGGCAGGAGUCCUCAUCCAGCUAACACCGGAGGUGAUGCCAGGGCGCGAGAGAAGCUUUGUGAGAGGGGACAGAAUGGAGCGGUUGGUGGGGCUGUGCAUGAAGAGACUGGAAGAAUGAAACGUUUGUAGGCUGGUUGUUACACCAGCCCCGUGCUCAAGGAGCAAAGAAUUAAAGUGCUCCUCUGAAAGGGAGGAGUUGCAAGAAGAGACACAGAA